UCCCUGCCUCUUUUACUUUCAGGAAGACAGCUUAGUGUCAGCACGAAGGACAAAUCCAUGCAGCUUUUGCCGACGUGUAAUGUUAUUUAUUAUUAUUAUUAUUAUUAUUAUCAUCAUCAUCAUCAUCAUUUAUUUAUAAGGCAACACAAAUACUUGCAGCAACGUAUAUAAACUCAAGGUGCUUUACAGACUUCAAAAACAAUGCACAUAAUACAGAAGAUUUAAGUAAUACAGCCACACAGACAUAAAAGAAAACCUUGAGCGCACAGUGGAUUGAGUCUUUCAGAAGCGUAUGUGAAGCGUCGAAGGACUUCAGUUACGCUACAAAAAUAAUAAUAAAAAACAAGCCUAUCUGCAUGUAUCCAAACACUUGUUCACACUUGUGCUCUGAUGCAUUUUCAGGAGGAAAAAUGCUGAUAAAGAGGAAAAAAAAGACUAAAACUGCAGCAGAAUUGAUGAGUUUUUCAUAUAAAAUAGUAUUCCUAUUAUCUAACGGGAAUAUCGGUGCUGUACCUGCCCCAGCAAUGUUGCAUGCUGGCUUUUCCUGCACUAAUAGACACACACAAACUUUUUUCUUUAUUAUUAUUAUUAUUAUUAUUAGUAUCCUUUAUUUAUAUGGCGCCACAAGGGUUCCGCAGCGCCCAAUUACAGAGUACAUAAACAAAUAAUCAAGCAGGAAAACAGCAACUUACAGUUGACAAUAUAGGACAAGUACAUGGUAAAUAAACACAGCUACAUCAGCAGAUGACACUGGAAUAAGUAUCAGGUGGCAGAAGAACUGCUGGAUUUGGUGCAGUUGGAUAUUAUUAAUAUUAUUAAAGUAUCAGUCCUACUAAAAAAAAACAACAACUUGUGUUUCGAGACAUGCCUGCAGUGUAGACAGACUUUUGAAUGCAAAGUAUCAUGUAAUAAAAAAUACUUUGGUG